rnacentral:rRNA from 1 species
AUUGAACGCUGGCGGCAGGCCUAACACAUGCAAGUCGAACGAGUGGCGGACGGGUGAGUAAUGUCUGGGAAACUGCCCGAUGGAGGGGGAUAACUACUGGAAACGGUAGCUAAUACCGCAUACCAUCGGAUGUGCCCAGAUGGGAUUAGCUAGUAGGUGGGGUAACGGCUCACCUAGGCCACGAUCCCGAGCUGGUCUUAGAGGAUGGCCUGGCACACUGGAACGGAGACACGGUCCAUGGCACUAUGGGGGGCAGCAUUGGGGAUGCUUGCACAAUGGACGAAAGCCUGAUCGAGCCAUGCCGCGAGUAUGAAGAAGGCCUCGGGGUUGUAAAGUUUGUUCAGCGAGGAGGAGUUACACGGAGAAGAAGAACUGGCUAACUCCGUGCCAGCAGCCGCGGUAAUAC